GGGCCCGCACAAGCGGUGGAGCAUGUGGUUUAAUUCGAUGCAACGCGAAGAACCUUACCAGGGCUUGACAUACUACGAAUUCUUUUGAAAAAAAGAAGUGCCUUCGGGAAUGUAGAUACAGGUGGUGCAUGGCUGUCGUCAGCUCGUGUCGUGAGAUGUUGGGUUAAGUCCCGCAACGAGCGCAACCCUUAUUUUUAGUUACCAAUUCGUUGGGCUCUCUAGAAAGACUGCCGGUGACAAACCGGAGGAAGGUGAGGAUGACGUCAAGUCAGCAUGCCCCUUAUGUCCUGGGCUACACACGUGCUACAAUGGCUAAGACAAAGAGUCGCAAGCUUGUGAAAGUUAGCUAAUCUCGUAAACUUAGCCUAAGUUCAGAUUGUAGGCUGCAACUCGCCUGCAUGAAGUUGGAAUCGCUAGUAAUCG
rnacentral:rRNA from 1 species